AAGCCCAUAGCAUAAUUGGUUAAUGCACAUCGUUGAUACCGGUGAGAGUGUGGGUUCGAAUCCUGCUGGGCUUA
rfam:Cryptococcus amylolentus CBS 6039 supercont1.15, whole genome shotgun sequence.